UUAUUUCUAAAUUUCCUUUACAUUAGGAAACACAUUUCAUAGAUUAGUGAGGAAACUUUUUUAGGGACCCAUCUGCAGCAUAUGAUAUGGAAAUUCCUAGGCUAAGGGUCAAAUCGGAGCUGCAGGUGCCGGCCUAAACCACAGCCACAGCAAUGCCAGAUCUGAGCCGCAUCUGUAAACUACACCACAGUUCACAGUAAUGCUGAUCCUUAACUCACAGAGCAGGGCCAACGAUUGAACCCAUGCCCUCAGGGAUACUAGUUGGGUUUGUUACUGCUGAUCCACCACAGGAACUCCAUGAGGGAAAUUUUCAUUUUAUAAAACCAUUUACAGAGAGGAAUUAGUGGAUGUAGUGUGUUUGGUCUAAGUCAUCAAAUGCAAGAAAAAACCAAUUAUUAUAAGGUAGCCAAGAAAAAGAAUAUAAAAAAUUCUAAGACAUUUAAAUCUCAUUAAAAGAAAUCAGUUGCCCACCUGUUCUAAGUAAAAGCAUUUAGCUGCCUUCUUUCUUUCCCUACUUCUGAUAAUUACACAAUGAAUCUCAAAAUUUCCUGUGAAAUAUUGAUGUAUUAAGUUAGAAAUAACCAAUUAUCUGAUUUGGGUUUGUAUCAGAUGUUAUCAUAUACUAUAAUCUCAUAAAAAUGUAGUAAAGCUCUCUAAUGGCUUGCUUAAAUUUAUCAUAAAAGAGAAUAGCCAAUUAGUUAAUUCUUGAAGUUAUUUUUUUUCUUUUCCAUUAUGGUUUAUUGCAAGAUAUUGAAUAUUGUUCCCUGUGCUUAACAGUAGGGCCUUGUUGUUUAUUUUAUUUUAUUUGUAUUGAUUGAUUGAUUGAUGGCCACACCAGUGGCGUGCAGAAGUUCCCAGGCCAGGGACGGAAGCUGUGCCACAGCUAUGACCCAAGCCAUAACAGUGACAAUGCCAGUUCCUUAACCCAUUGAGCCAUCAAGGAACUUUGAUUCACAAUGUUUUGAUUUCUGCUGUACAGCAAAGCGAUUCAAUUGUACAUAUAUAUAUUUUUUUUUAAUAUUCUUCUGCAUUAUGGUUUAUGACACUGAAUAUAGUCCUCUGUGCUAUACAGUAGGACUUACCCCCUCUAUGUAUAAUAGCUUACAUUUGCUAACCCCAACCUUCCACGCCAUCCCUCUCCCAACUCCCUCCCCCUUGGCAACCACAAGUCUGUACUCCUUGCCUGUGGGUCUGUUUCUGUAUUGUAGAUAGGUUCAUUUGUGUCAUAUUUUAGAUUCCACAUAUAAAGAAUAUCAUAGGGGUAUUUGUCUUUCUGAUUUACUUAGUAUGAUCUCUAGUUGCAUCCAUGUUGCUGCAAAUGGCAUUUUUCAUUAUUUUUUUAUGACUGAGUAGUAUUCCAUUGCAUAUAUGUACCUCAUCUUCUGUAUCCAUUCAUGCGUUGUUGGACAUUUAGGUUUUUUCCAUGUCUUAGCUAUUGUGAAUAGUGCUUCUAUGAACAUAGGGAUGCAUGCAUCUUUCUGAAUUAUAGUUUUGUCUGGAAAUAUGCGCAGGAAUGGGAUUGCUGAUCAUAUGAUAGUUCUAUAUUUAGUUUUCUGAGAAACCUCCAUACUAUUUCCAUAGUGGUUGCACCAAUUUACAUUCCUACCAACAGUGCAGGAGGGUUCCCUUUUCUCCACAUCCCCUCUAGAAUUUAUUUGUAGACUCUUUAAUGAUGGCCAUUCUGACCAGUGUGAAGUGAUACCUCAUUGUAGUUUUGAUUUGCAUUCUUCUAACAAUGAAUGAUGUUGAGGAUGCUUUCAUGUGCUUAUUGGCUAUUUGUAUUUCUUCUUCGGAGAAAUGUCUAUUUAGGUCUUAUGCCCACUUUUCUAUUGGGGUAUUUGGUUUUUUGUUAUUGAGUUGUAUAAGAUAUUUGUGUAUUCUGGAAAUCUAACCCUUGUCAUUCACUUCAUCUGCAAAUAUUUUCUUCCAUUAUGUAGGUUGACUUACUGUUUUGUUUAUGGGUCCCUUUGCUGUUCUUCAAGUUAUUACACUGUUCCUUGCCUGUUAGAUCCAGUUAUUAACUUAGUUCUCCUGACUUUUCCAGCAUUUUUUUUCAUAGCAUUUAAUCUCUCCAAACAUACACACAGAGGCAUACCUAUGCAUGUGCUUGCAUGCAUGUGAACAAAUUUGAAUAUAUACACACACUAGAAAAAUUAUCUUGGUCAAAACCUAUUUUUCAGCUUUAUCUAUGACAGUAUAUAAACCUGUGAUUUAAACCCUUUGGCUUCCUUUCCUAGUCUCUGAAUUUCUUUUAAGGGGUGGAGUGUUCUAAUUUGCAAACCUAGCAUUGCUUAUCAUUUGAAACUGGCUUGGCAUUCUCACUUGGUACUUACUAAUAUAUUUCAAGAACUCAGCAUGUGUGUGUAUGUGUGUGUGCAGAUAUGUUGACACUUCAGCAACAAGGGCUAGAGGUAUAGGGGAGAGAUCUGGACCAGGAUGACCAAUUCAUCCUGCCUCAGCUGGGAUUCUCCCGGUACACCACUGAAAUUCUCAUUUCCAGUAAUCCCCUCAGUCCUAGGCAAACCAAGACAGAUAAACCUCAUGGGUGAAAGGCUGAAGGAAAAUUAACUGACAAGAGCCUGCUCUUAGGGCAGUCUAGUGAGCUACUUACACCCAAAGGUAUGGUCACUACAGAUGUGACUCUGAGAAGAGUCCGGGCCAAUGAAGUCUAAUUUAAUCAAUGACAGAGGAUGGGCAAUGCCUAUAGACAGAAGUAAGAACUGGAGAAAAAAUAAGCUGGACUUGGGUUAAUGUGGCUGUAUAGGGUAUCUAUGGAACACAAGGCACAAAGCUGCUUAGGCUCCAUUAACUUGGUUAUCCUAAUGGUAUGAAAUGUUCUCUGACCUGCUGGCAAUGAAUUUGCGAGUGAGCUUCCAGUUAUACCUGUGAAAUACACUGGAAGAUAGAGAUGGAUGAAAGAAGUCUUGAAUAGGCUCAGAGUUACAUAGUGAGGAAGAGGCUACAUUUUAAACCUAGAUCUUUCUGAUUCCAGGGCUGUUGCUCAGGAGUUUAAGUAAAGGUUAUAAUAUAAAUUCUAUUCAUGAAAAGUCAUUGUGUUAUAGCAGUUGUGUCCAUGUCGUUUCCUGUUUCCCAGACUGCUAAAUUCUAUAGGGGUAAAUGCUGUUACUUAUUUAUCUUUGUAUCUCUUAAUGAGCAAAAUACUUGUAAGAAAACAAACUUUCGAUAACUGUUACUGAAUUAAAUAGAAUUAAAUGAGACUUGCAUAUCCCUAUCUUGCUCCUUUCACUCUGUGUGUUUUUGCUUUGCCCAAAGGAAUGUCCUUCAAAUUCUUUUCAACCUUCAAAGUCCAACUUAAGUUUCUGAAUCUUUACUGAGGUCACAGAAAUCUCUCUCUUGUCUGAACUCCACCUCAGCAUUUUAUCUUUUCAUGCAUUUAAAUCUUAUUAUUCUCAAAGGUAUCACUGGCUCCUUUGUAUCCUUCAUUGUUAUGCUUACCUCGGACAGUCAAUCAACAUUGGUUACUUGAAAUCCAGAAGCAAAAAGACUGUCAAUACAUCUUUACUCUUAAUCAAUCAACAAUUCAAAACAGGAAUGAACAUUCAAAAUAGAAAAAGAAUUCUAAACAGCAGCCAGACAUUCCUAUAGAAUGUAGGUAUACAAAAGAAUUCCUUUUUUUUUUUUUUUUUUUUUUUUUUUUUUGUCUUUUUUCCUUUCUAAAGGAAACCAAAUGGGAACUCCCCUUUGGUUCUUUCUGAGGAAUUUAUUAGCUCCACUACAUCUAAAACAUAGGGGCUGUCAGAGUAUUAAUAAACUUUUUUUAAAAAAAGAAAGCAUUUACUCAUAAAAAGAAAUUCUCAGCAUUUUCUAAAAGAAAAAUAUUAAUAAACAGCUACUAUAAACACAGUUAAAAAUAGAAUACUUGCAAUAAAAAUGAAAGAAGACCAAUUACUUUUGGGGAGCUACAGUGCAGCAAACCUAGUUAUAAAACUCAAGUUCAGAGCCUCAUUAUUUCUAAGUGAGGGACUGGGGGAAACAGAUGAGACAAGAAACAUAAGAACCAUGCUACUGGAGUUCCCGUCGUGGCGUAGCAGAAACAAGAAACCAUGAGGUUGCGGGUUCGAACCCUGGCCUUGCGCAAUGGGUUAAGGAUCCAGCGUUACCAUCAGCUGUGGUGUAGAUCACAGACGCGGCUUGGAUCUGGCAUUGCUAUGGCUGUGGCAUAGGCUGGUGGCUACAGCUCCAAUUAGACCCCUAGGCUGGGAGCCUCCAUGUGUUGCAGGUGUGGCCCUAAAAAGACAAAAAAUAAAAAAUAAAGAACUAUACUACUUACUAAGUAUAAAAGUAAAAAAAAAAAAAAAUGACAACUUUCUACUUUUGAAUCAAGACAAGACUUUUGCUUAUUAGUUUUUGUUUUGCAGUCAUGAAGAUUCUAUAAUGCAAAAAAGGCUGGAUUUUUUUUUUUCUCAAGUCUUUAGUAAAUCCAUUUUAUAAGGCUGGGAAAACUUAGCAUGUAACUGAUUUUUGUCAGUAUCAGAUAGCUAUGAAAAAGAAUCACACCAGAUACAUGUUCCUGAGUCACCAUUUUUAGUGUUUAAAAAACCAUUUUUUUCUAGUUCAAGAUGAUAGUUCUGAAUGCUAAUUCCAAAACCUUACAGUCUGUAUGUGAUAUGGAAUGACUGUGCAUUUAAAAAAACAAAUGGUAAAAGCAGAGGCAGAAUUACUGUGAAGCUAAGGAAGCACAAAUUAUAAGGCUCCUUUGCACAGUCCUUCUCCAGAGCACUGAGAGGGACUCUGGCAAUGAAUUCAGUGACCAUACAUUUUCAUACAAUUGAUAGAAGUAAGACAUAUUAACUACAAUUAGUUAAGACCAGUGUCUUUUCAUGAUGAUUUCUCUAUCACCUUACCUCCUGGUUGGUGUGUCAGAGUAGCCACAUACAUCUUAGAACUCAGUUAAGAUGAGGUUGGUCCUGCUGAAUAGCAUUGAGAACUAUGUCUAGAUACUCAUGUUGCAACAGAAGAAAGGGUGGGGGAAAAACUGUAAUUGUAAUGUAUACAUGUAAGGAUAACCUGACCCCCUUGCUGUACAGUGGGAAAAUAAAAAAAAAAAAAAA
rnacentral:lncRNA from 1 species